CUUCCAGGCGGGGAAGAGUUAGCGGGUGCCAGUUUUGUGAUGGUAAUGGUGAUGCUGUCUAUUUCCUUGGAGGGAAGACUGCUUCUGGUGUUGGAGGUCGGAAGGGAACUGUGCUGAGGUUCACCACAGAAUAUGGGGCCGCCUGGGGUGGCGGCCAGCCCCGCCUUCGGGAGACCCACAGACUCAGGCCCUACUUGGCUCUGCGUGACCUGGAGGGGUGCCUAUGACCCCUUCAAACUUCAUUCUGUCUGUUGGAAAAGCAGGCAGAAAUAAGGUAGACUAACCUUAGAGAGCAGUGAGAAUCCUGCAAAUGCUUCUGGAGCCCAAGGGGAGGUUACAGUUUCCUGGAGUAAUAAUCCUAAGCGCACAGUACAUAAACAUGACCUGAUUAUACAGCUGGUAACCUUGAAAGGUGAGGUAAUGUCCUUCCUCUGCUCAAAGAUAAAGCCGACUUUCUGGUUGCAAACAAGCUCAGUGUUCAUCAGUUGUGUGUAAAAACCACUAUGUAUACAGAAUCAGAAUCCAUGUGGGUCUGCUGCAUCACUUCCAUGGAACAUGGAGGCAAGAGAAACUGGUGCAAACAUGCUGAUGUUUAUGCUGCUUGUCAUGUCAUGAGUAAUAAAGUCUUUUGUCUCUGA